CCUAAACAAAACUCAAAGAGGUUAAGAAACCACCUAGAUCUACCUGCGUCCAGAACCUUUACAUACCUAGAGACAAGUCCUGUGGGAGAAAGAAGAAGGUGCUCUAAACAAAACAAGACAAAAUAGGAUGACUGGGGAAAGUCCAAGGGAACACCAUCACCUGCCAUCAGGAUAUCACUAAGCCCCUGCGCCAGCUGAUAUGGCAGGAAAAUGCUACAAAAAGCCUUUUUAUUAUAUUAACAUGGUACAAAGACAAUAUGUUUGAGAAACUCAGCCCAGAAGCCUGGAUUCACUUCUAAUGUUUGGUAAGAGCGAAGGUUGGCCGGGCCUGGGAGCAGCCAACACUCUGCUGUGGACCCGGAUACCGACACCUCGCAGGUCAGCGCUCGGUUGGGAAGCUGCUCCAGAACUCAUUCUCUGACCAGAGGUACUUCUCAUUUCCCUAAGAGAUGGAAACACUUCAAAGGAUUCCUCAAUUUUAUCAUGGCAAGCCCUGGAAUCCUUUUUUUUUUUUCUCUCUCUCUCUUUUGAAAUCUGGCCUUAGUAACAGAGAGAUUUUACCC